CCUACGGGAGGCAGCAGUAGGGAAUCUUCGGCAAUGGACGAAAGUCUGACCGAGCAACGCCGCGUGAGUGAAGAAGGUUUUCGGAUCGUAAAACUCUGUUGUUAGAGAAGAACAAGGACGUUAGUAACUGAACGUCCUCUGACGGUAUCUAACCAGAAAGCCACGGCUAACUACGUGCCAGCAGCCGCGGUAAUACGUAGGUGGCAAGCGUUGUCCGGAUUUAUUGGGAGUAAAGCGAGCGCAGGCGGUUUCUUAAGUCUGAUGUGAAAGCCCCCGGCUCAACCGGGGAGGGUCAUUGGAAACUGGGAGACUUGAGUGCAGAAGAGGAGAGUGGAAUUCCAUGUGUAGCGGUGAAAUGCGUAGAUAUAUGGAGGAACACCAGUGGCGAAGGCGGCUCUCUGGUCUGUAACUGACGCUGAGGCUCGAAAGCGUGGGGAGCAAACAGGAUUAGAUACCCUGGUAGUCCACGCCGUAAACGAUGAGUGCUAAGUGUUGGAGGGUUUCCGCCCUUCAGUGCUGCAGCAAACGCAUUAAGCACUCCGCCUGGGGAGUACGACCGCAAGGUUGAAACUCAAAGGAAUUGACGGA
rnacentral:rRNA from 1 species